UACGUAGGGUGCAAGCGUUGUCCGGAAUUAUUGGGCGUAAAGAGCGUGUAGGCGGCCAGGUAGGUCUGCUGUGAAAACUCGAGGCUCAACCUCGAGACGCCGAUGGAAACCAUCUGGCUAGAGUCCGGAAGAGGAGAGUGGAAUUCCUGGUGUAGCGGUGAAAUGCGCAGAUAUCAGGAAGAACACCCGUGGCUAAGGCGGCUCUCUAGUACGGUACUGACGCUGAGACGCGAAAGCGUGGGGAGCGAACAGG
rnacentral:rRNA from 1 species